rnacentral:lncRNA from 1 species
GCGGGGCGCGCGGACAGCGCGCGGGGCCGGGGCGCGCCCCCGCGGGCCGGGGGCCUGGUCCUGGGGCCGGGGCCGGGACCGGGGCCGGGGCUGGGGCGAGCGGCCGGGAGAAGAGAGCGCGGCCGCCGAGGAGCGUCCCCGAGCGGCUCCCUGAGUCCCCGCCGGGCUCCGCUCCGGCCGGGCGGCGGCCGACAGCCGGCAGCUCGGCCCGACGGCAGCUCCUGGCUCCUGCCCCGGGAAAGAAACAUAUAAGAAAAGCGAUGCCCACCGCUCUCCAUAUGCUAGAGAGAGAAUUCCUGAAAUACCGUGUUUGGGGCUUUCCUUUCGUUUUUGUUUUUUUGCUGAUACCGUUAAAAAUUUAAAUCUAAGGAAAUAAAAGUCUGGAAAGGAUU